rnacentral:rRNA from 1 species
CGGGUGAGUAACGCGUGGGUAACCUGCCUCAUACAGGGGAAUAGCAGCUGGAAACGGCUGAUAAAACCGCAUAAGCGCACAGUGCCGCAUGGCACAGUGUGAAAAACUCCGGUGGUAUGAGAUGGACCCGCGUCUGAUUAGGUAGUUGGUGGGGUAACGGCCUACCAAGCCGACGAUCAGUAGCCGACCUGAGAGGGUGACCGGCCACAUUGGGACUGAGACACGGCCCAA